CGACUCCUCCCGAGCAGCAAGAGGGAGACGACGACGCCCGCCUCCCGCGCCCUCCCGCCCUCCCUCCCGCGCGCGCCAACUCCCAGCGCAGCGCGCUGAUUGGCCGGCGCAUUCCCGCUCUGCUUCCCGAACCGCCAUUUUGAAAAUCUUGUUGAUUCUGAGGAACCGAGAGCGAGCGCGCGGCUUCGCGAGGACCUCGGCCCGCGCGCCUUCCACUCAGCGGCGGCCUUCUCGUGCGCACCCGCGGCUCCCAGCAUGUCGGCGGCGGCAGCCCCCGCUGCGGAGGGAGAGGACACCCCCACGCCGCCCGCGUCCGAGAAGGAACCUGAGAUGCCGGGUCCCAGGGAGGAGAGUGAGGAGGAAGAGGAGGAGGACGACGACGAUGAGGAUGAGGAGGAAGAAAAAGAAAAGAGCCUUAUCGUGGAGGGCAAGAGAGAGAAGAGGAAAGUAGAGAGGCUGACGAUGCAGGUGUCUUCCUUACAGAGAGAGCCGUUCACAAUCGCACAAGGGAAGGGUCAGAAACUUUGUGAAAUUGAAAGGAUACAUUUCUUUCUGAGUAAGAAAAAAACAGAUGAACUUAGAAAUCUACACAAACUGCUUUACAACAGGCCGGGCACAGUGUCCUCUUUGAAGAAGAAUGUGGGUCAGUUCAGUGGCUUUCCAUUUGAAAAAGGCAGUACCCAGUAUAAAAAGAAGGAAGAAAUGUUGAAAAAGUAUAGAAACGCCAUGUUAAAGAGCAUCUGUGAGGUUCUUGAUCUAGAGAGGUCAGGUGUGAACAGUGAACUAGUGAAGAGGAUCUUGAAUUUCUUAAUGCAUCCAAAGCCUUCUGGCAAACCAUUGCCAAAAUCCAAAAAAUCUUCCAGCAAAGGUAGUAAAAAGGAACGGAACAGUUCUGGAACGACAAGGAAGUCAAAGCAAACUAAAUGUCCUGAAAUUCUGUCAGAUGAGUCUAGUAGUGAUGAAGAUGAGAAGAAAAACAAGGACGAGUCUUCAGAAGAUGAAGAGAAAGAAAGUGAAGAGGAGUGACAUAAACAGAAACCAGGCCAACUGUGGAGAUCCAUGGAGGACAAAAGAAGACAAUGCUCUGUAGACACGAAGUAAUCAGAUCACCCCAUGUAAAAACUGUUAGCGAGAUUCUCCCAACACGGUUUGUCCUGACAGGCUUUAUGAGAAAAAUCCUAAUAAAGUCUGUAGAUCGGUUUUUCCCCUUCUCAUCUGGUUUAUUAUGACACCUCUUCCACCAGCAACCGUUCAUAGUCACUACUCCUGAGGAAGGCACGGGUGAGCGUCACUGUUGCCUGUAUCCAUGAUGAAAAGUUGGAGAGGCAAUCUUGUGAAGAUAUUCAUAGCUGCUGUGUGUUCCUGGCUGAGGGCGGGGCCUUGUCUGGAUGGCUGUUUCAUGACAGUUGUGCCCAUCCCCCAGUUCUUGAAUUCAUUCUCUUCUCUCCCGUAAUGUUCCCUGGGCCUUGGCUGGGAGUUGAUACAGAUGUCCCAUUUAAGGGCGAGCGCUCUCCACUGUCUGUACUGUACCAGAUAGGACUCAGUGCAUUCAUUCUUACCCUCUGUUUAAAAUAAAAAAUAAAGUUGUUCUGCCCUGGGCUGAGAGCUGCAGUGAUCUGGGCAUAAACACAUGUACUUAGGACGUAGUUUGGCUACAUAGUCAAGUAGGCAAACGUGUUCCUCCUGUGGGCUCAGGCCCUUCCCAGCCAUAGCCUCUUGACCAGGUUUUUAUACUGUCAAUGUGUAUUCCUUCCCUGUGGGCCUCAGCCACAGAUUUGUUCAUCUGGAAAAUAACCAGCCACCAUGACAUUUGUUGUCUUGCCUGAUGAAUUGAUACUGUCAUACACAUGAGUUCUAUAGCAGAGUAAUAGAGUUGAUGCAUUUUCCCCUGCAAGGCCUUCAUAUCUUUGGCAAUAAACAUUACCCAGAGAAGGAAGCAGUUUCUAGUGCAGUUCUAUCUUGAUUUCUCUUUGUCCUAGCCAAAGUUAAUCAGGGUAAUGGUUUUAUGUCUAGAUAUUUUAUUCUUUUUCAGACAAGGAAGAAGGCAACAGGCAGAUGCUUACAUACUGCCCUUGGAAGGGGAACUUAACCAGAAGCCUCUGUCUGUCUAAGGCUGUUUAGAUCCCCAAGAUAGUACUUUUCUUUGUUUCUUCUCGUAUUGUUUUUUCAUUUCAUUUUAUUUUUUGGCUUUUCGAAACAGGGUUUCUCUGCAUGUGGCCCUGGCUGUCCUGGAACUUGCUCUGUAGACUAGUUUUGCCUGGAAUUCACAGAUUUGUCUGCUUCUGCCUCCCAUGUGCUGGGUUUAAAGGUGUGUGCCACCACAGCCCAGCAGUACUUAACUUCUAAUGGCUGCUAUACUUAAUCUGGGAUGGUUUGACUUUGGGUGGGGUUGGGGAGCUUGUUCCCCUUCCUGCCUUCUUAAGAAAUGGACAAUCGGGGUUGGGGAUUUAGCUCAGUGGUAGAGCGCUUGCCUAGGAAGCGCAAGGCCCUGGGUUCGGUCCCCAGCUCCGGGAAAAAAAAGAACCAAAAAAAAAAAAAGAAAUGGACAAAUCAAAGCAGGACGCUGUUCAUUCAACAUCUGCAAAUCAGAAGCCUGCAGUUACAAAGUUUGUUAACUGUCUUUUGUUGAGCAAGUUGUUUAAUAGUAGGAGUAUGAGCAUACAUAUUUUUCUAUUCCUUAAUAAUUCUUUUAGAGUCAGGCGGGGUUAGCACAUGCCUUUUAUCCCAGCACGCAGGAGGCAGAGGCAGAGGCAGUCAGAUUUCUGAGUUUGAGGACAGCCUGGUCUACAGAGAUGAGAUCCAAGAUACCCAUGGCUACAGAGAGAAUCCCUCUAGAAAAAUAAUAACACUUUUAGAAACUAAGAAACUUUGUAAUUUGAACAACAGACAUCAAAACUAAGUAACCUAUUUAAAUCUUUUGUCCGAAAUCAAAGUUGAUAGGUCACCUUGAUAAAAUCCAUUUACAUUUCAUUCUUUUAAUGAAUUAUAACUGGAAUUGUACAUCCCUUUUGGCAUUUUGAUUUUUCUCUACCAACAUGUUAGAACAAUCCUGUAUUUAAGCUAAUUUUUUUCAUUUUUAUUUUGUUCAUCUGUUCGUUCAUUCAGUACAACCUUUCUGCUGUGAGGACAGAAUUCUGGCUCUGUGACAGGCAUCUUUUUUGGUGACCCUCCUUCAAGAGCCCUGCUGCCUAUAACAGAUAGCAACCACCAAAAAAGACAUCUAAAAAAGAAAAAGCAAAACAGAAAGCUACCACUAAAAGUAAAAAAUCU